UCUCAGAGCCUCUCAUGUCGAGCUCAGUGACUUUUAUAUUAUUUCUGUAUAAACAAGCCAUAUUCUGCAGCAUUACAUUAAAGUCAUUGCUUUACCUUCUUCUUGUUAUGUUUUAAAGUGUGUUGUGUGCUUGCAUGUUGCUUUCCAUUGUUAAUCAUGUAAUGCACACAUGUUAAAACACAGCGUGCUUUCAAAGGAAAAUAACAAAGUGCAAACAUGUACUUGUCGAACACAGUGAAUAUAGUGACAGUUUAGUUCUGAGUGAAAACCUUCUUCCUCAUUCCCAGCUGUGAGGUGGCUCAACACAGGAUGCCCUGGUUAACGAGUCAGGGUGCUGGCUCGCCGUAGCAGGUGUGUGACAGCACACAGCUACACAGCAGCAGUGUGAAGCAACGAUUACAACCACACUUUGUUUCCAUCUGGUUUGUGCUCUUGUGAGAUUUAGUCAAACUGUGUGUAUCUGGAUGGCGUUUGGACCACAGCAUUUGAACAACAGUAUCUCUUCUCAUCUUGACCUUUGACCUCUUCUGGACCAUUCAAUGCAGGAUUUAAGUGACACAUCCAUCAACGAGGUGUGGUGUACUGCCACCUGCUGGUAGGAAGUGUCGGGAUAGCCGGUGUAAAAAGACAACAGUGGAGAGCAAACGUUAAACAAUGGAGAGAAAAAUGUGGAGGAGAUCGAGGAAAGUCCCAUGGAGAUUUGAGGAGGAGGGUGGACAGGAGGAGACCAGAGGAGUGUCGCCAUCUCAACCACCAGCUGGUGAUGCCCCUCGUAGCCGGUCGCCGCAUCGCCAAGAGGCCUGGAAAACGGUUGCGGACCCUGACAUUUGGAGAAGGGUUAAAAGUUCACGUGGACUGACAUCACCGCGCCGGAGCUGACGACGUACCUGGGCGUGCUGCUGUUUAUGUCCGUGUGCAACCUCCCGAAACUGUCCGACUUCUGGAGGAAGAAAAGCAUUUUUUUCGUGUGCCCUUCCUGGCUUCGGUCAUGUCCAGAGACAGGUUCAGGUUCAUCGCCUCCAACUUGCGGUCAAUGACCAGAAAAGGGGGACGGAGGACUAUGACCCCUUGCAAAAGGUCAGAUCUCUCCUGGAGAUAAUCAGAAACCGCUGCAAGGCCGUUUACCAUCCGAGGCAGAACAUCUCCGUGGACGAGAGGAUGGUUGCCGCAAAGGCUCGGCUCUCACUAAAACAAUGUAUGAAGGCCACGCCGAUGACGUGGGGGCUCAAAUUCUUCGCGUUGGCCGAUGUGAAUGGGUACACGGUUGACUACAAGCUGUACCCGGGGAAGAACCACAGGGCUUCAGGGAAGGGGCUCGCAUUUGACGUGGUGACGGAGCUGGUGAACAAGGACCAUCUGGGGAGUGGCUACAUUGUCUACUGUGACCAUUUUUACACCAGCCCUGUCCUGUUACGCCAUCUGAGCCAGCAGGGGUUUGGGGCUUGUGGUACUUACAGGGAGGGCAGAGUUGGUGCCCCAACGACUCGGGAGAAUGCCCUGGACAGAAAAUCAAAGCGAGGCUCCAUCAGGUGGAUCCGGGAUGGUGACCUGCUCUUUGUAAAAUGGAUGGACACCAGGGAGGUCUCCGUCUGCACGACCGUCCAUCCCGUACACACAGGGGAGACUGUCCUGCGCUGGCAGAAGACCGUCGACGGGCCGGUUCGGAGGGUCCCCGUCCCCAGACCCACAGCUGUGGGUGACAGGUACGUGGGGGGGGAGGUGGUGGACGCCUCUGACCAGAUGCCGGGAGCGAACUCGGUGCACAGAAAAACAAAGAGGUGGCCCGUGACAGUUUUUCAGCACCUUCUGGACAUCGCGGUGACGAACAGCUUCGUGGUGCACAAGGAGCUCAGCGUGACGCAGGGCAAGAGGCCGAUGACGCGCCAGGCCUUUCAGGAGGAGCUGUGUGCAAAGAUGCUCGGCGUGCCACUGGCCGGCCCGCCUAAGCCCCCCGCCCAAGGCCACUUUCCCGUCCCCACCAACAAAAGAGAGGAGACUAAGAGAAGGAAGAGGGCAAGCAUGGGCAGGAAGCAGUGUACCGUCUGCCAUAAAAGCACUCCCUGGAUGUGUGAGGAGUGCCAGGUUGGGCUCUCCAGCUGGACAGGAACUGCUUCAGGGACUUCCACCACGGCCUGGAAAUGGACUAACAUAACCAACCUGUAAAGCACGGACUCCGAAAAAAGCUCUACGGCAAACACAACCGUUUAAGAUGUUACAAUAUUUGUGUAAACUCCAAAGUUUUCUUUGUGUUUUUAUUUCGAAAUUGUUUAGAAAGAGAAACUUGAUGAAAAUUCAUACACGUUUUGUUGUACUAUUUGUCAUUUAAAAUGUGAAAAAAAUGAACCUUACCUUCAGCAGCAGGUUCCCCUCUAAAUGGAAUAUAUCUGAAAUGUCCGAGCGGUCCCUGAAGGCGACGUGUGUGUAGGGGGCGUGGUCAGGCGACUCCUCGGGUAGAUAUCCGGUUUCCGUAGACUGAAGGUGCGGCGCGACACUUUUCCGGUUCACGCUCAGAAGAACUUCCUGUUGGUGUCAUGG